rnacentral:rRNA from 1 species
CAGUCGCCGCGGUAAUACGUAGGGUGCAAGCGUUAAUCGGAAUUACUGUGCGUAAAGCGUGCGCAGGCGGUUAUAUAAGACAGAUGUGAAAUCCCCGGGCUCAACCUGGGACCUGCAUUUGUGACUGUAUAGCUAGAGUACGGUAGAGGGGGAUGGAAUUCCGCGUGUAGCAGUGAAAUGCGUAGAUAUGCGGAGGAACACCGAUGGCGAAGGCAAUCCCCUGGACCUGUACUGACGCUCAUGCACGAAAGCGUGGGGAGCAAACAGGAUUAGAUACCCGCGUAGUCCCUGUCUCUUAUAC